GGAGGCACGCAGGGCUCUGGCUGAAGCCUGAAGCUUGGGAUCCUCAGAGCACAGAUGUCCCAGGGUUGUGUGAAGUUAGUGAGACGAGGUGUACGGAGAGAGCUCGGAGAGGAGAGGGAGUCUCGAUUGCUGUGGCUGUGGCUCGGAGAUGCCUGCAAGAGGACCCUUUAGGGUUGCACAUGGCAGAAACUUAAUCCACACCAACUUCAGCGAAGAAGGAAUGUACUGGCUCCAGUCAGUGAAAAGUCCAGGAGGAGCCAUGCCUUCAGGCACGGCUGCAUCCAGGCACUCAACAGGUGUAUCCAGGCACUCAACAGGUGCAGCCAACACCUUGCCCCGCAGGCUGUCAGCUCCUGCCUUCUGCUGCGUCCACGUCACUAUGACAAAACUGAGGCUCAGAGAGGUGAAGUGAUUUGCCUAUGGAUGCAUAGCUAAGGUGUCCUACGGGCCUGAUGGAAAGGUGGCAGGCGAAAUGCACCUGGCCUCAGCGUCAGGGGCUGUGAAUGCAGUAGCACUUGUAGCUAUGAGGUCAGAGUGGACUAGGAUGGUCCUUCCACCAAGAAGCCUGGGCCUUCCUGCUCUUCGUUGUCCAGCUGCAGAAACUGAUCUCAUCCCUCAGGGCUUGGCACAACUGCCCCUUCCUCCUCACAUUCCCAAAUAUACCUACCCCUCCCCAACUCAAUCCUCCUCACCAGACUGUGGCUCCAGGAUGACAGGGCAGAGUUGGACUCACCUGUGUCUGCCAGGCCAGCUCACCGUGGGGGCAGGUCCCAAGAGGCCUCUGGAUUUGGACCAACUUCCAGUGUGACCUUGAACAAGGCCUUCGCCUCCCUCAGCCUCCGUUGCAUGAGGGGUUGUGCUGGCACAUCUCAGAGCAGGUAGCGCUACCUGGUGAGUUGAGGGCUCUGUCCAUCAUCUUUGUCACUGUAAUGCUGGGUAACAAAUAAACACGAAACAAUGA
rnacentral:lncRNA from 1 species